AUUGGGUUAAUAUUCCCAAACCAGGACAUGGUGGUGGAAGACAAUGUUAGGAAAUCUGGAGAUGUCAUCGGGGGCCUGGGAAGAGUUAUCUUUUCAUUUUAAUGACUUUCCCACCCUGAAAUUGGUUCAACUAGAGAUAGGGUCCAACAUAUGAAAGAGAACCACACAUCUUGCGGUGUUUGGUUCUCCCUCGAUGGCCAUUGUAAAUAUGGUGAAUCGAGUACCAUCCAUGCCCAAUCGUACUCAUAUCUGCCUCC
rfam:Picea glauca, whole genome shotgun sequence.